rnacentral:rRNA from 1 species
UACGUAGGGUGCAAGCGUUGUCCGGAAUUAUUGGGCGUAAAGAGCUCGUAGGCGGUUUGUUGCGUCGGCUGUGAAAUCCCGAGGCUCAACCUCGGGUCUGCAGUCGAUACGAGCAAACUAGAGUGUUGCAGGGGAGACUGGAAUUCCUGGUGUAGCGGUGAAAUGCGCAGAUAUCAGGAGGAACACCGGUGGCGAAGGCGGCUCUCUGGACCACAACUGACGCUGAGGCGCGAAAGCGUGGGGAGCAAACAGG